AGCAGACAGACCCAAAAUAACUGCUGUGAUCUUCAGAAGUGCCGAGGUCUCGAAAGUCAAGGGGAAGAUGAGAAUUGUUCCUGAGGAUCCUAAAGGGACCUGAGAAGUAGGUUCAAUGCACAAAUGGGAAAUAGAUCUUUUUCCUGCAAGAUGCAACGGGGAUGAUUUGAAUGAGUUCUGAAUACUCUACAUAUUAAUACAUCCUUGUCAGCCUCCGGAGUGUAAUGUUAACUUGUAACUAGAUGGAGCAACUGUACUUCUGACCAGCUCCUCAGGGGCGAUCCUGGCCGCAGACCACAUUCCCAAGUAGCAAGCCUCCACAUUCUGACAUCCUCUCUGCCUGGAGUUGCCAGCUCUUUCCCAUCACAGUGCUGACGUGUUAGAAGUCUGACAGUCUCACAAGGCCACACUUGGGGUCUUUGCGCUGCUGUGGUUGUUCUAGGGACUCUGGGAGACGACUCAGCUCUUUUUCCAUUCUAGAGUGCAGAGGUUGCUGCAUGCCAUGUACCCUUCCUCCAUCUUCUAAAGUAUCGACAUUUGUGGCCAUAACCUAGCAUUUCAUCAAAAUGAAGAUUGGCAGUACAAGGGCCAUGAACACAUCCGGGAGCUCAGAAGACAGUUUGGGUGCUAAAUACACUCCUACUAUGAUUGAGCUUGACACCAUAACCAUGAAGAAAUGCAUCAUUGGCUGACAACAUGGUUUCUGAAGACAAUUCUUACCGUGUGAACUAAAGCACGCCACCUCACAUGGCCUUGAAGGUGCACAGUCUGUGUGGGGACUACCAGACUCAGCCAUGGCUCUGCGGACUUCAAGGCAGACACUGAAAUGAAGGCACAGAGUUAUGCAUUGCCUAGCUACCUUGUUCAUGCCCACAAGUCCUUAUUCUCACUUCCCAGCAUGAAAAUCAGCUCCAAAGUGCAGUACCUUCAUUCCUUCUGCUCAGUCAAUGAAUGAUGGCUGCCUGGCUGGCUCAGGCCAUCCCUGCUCUUCCGUUACCCAGGAUCCUCGAGGAUGUCUUCCCUUUCCUGCUGCUGUGACAAAAUACUCUGACAAAGGCAACUUAAGGCACAGGAAAAUGUGACAAGUCCAGAGGGUUCUGUUAGGAAGGUGUCACUUGACUAUGAAAUGUCCCCCAGCUGGUGGCACUGUUUGAGGGUGACUCUACAGUGUUUAGGAGGUAGAAACCUAGGUGGCAGAGAUGAGCUCCUGGAGGCUUUUGAGGGCUGCUUAUGGCCCAGCCCUGCUUUAAGCUUCAUGGUCAAGCCAGUGAAGACUUCCAACCCCUGCUCUCACUGCUGACACCUGCCUCACCACGGUGGACUGAAACUGAGCAAAGUGAACUUUUUCUUCCCUACGUUAUUUCUGUCAGGUAUUUUGUCCCAGUGACACAAAAGUGACUCCCAGUAAAGUAUGUGGAAAUUGCAGUGAAGAGAGAGGCAACAGCUGCAUAGCAAAUUCCUUAUAACUGAAGCAUGGGAAGCGACACAGUCCAUCCUUCAGAGGAGCUCAUUACGCAGGAAGUAAACAACUCCGAAGCUUCAGGAAGUCCCUGAAAUUGACCAGAUACACAAGGCCCCUUCCUAUCUAAGUAUUUAUAAGCAUAUGUAAUCUGUAAAGACUUCUGGGAAACACUCGCAAACAAGCUGAGCUUCCUGGAAGAGGCUCAGACAAACCCAGCUGCCUAGAAGAAACACUUGCCAAGCUGCCUGAAGGUUGUGCAGCAUGCUAUAGGUUUCUGUCUGUCACAAAAUGUCACCCAUGCUGGAGUGGGAUUUGGUGAUUCAGCUGUCCUUGAAUCAUUUCUGCUCCUGUAAGUAACUCCUUGCCUAUACUUCUGAGACCCCCAAUAAAAGUCAUGCUUUAGUGGUA